GCCCGGCUGGCGCGAUUGGUAGCGCGUAAGACUUCUACAACAUCGCACUCGAGUCAUGAGAGGUGCUGGAGUUCCAUCUCAAGGCCGUGGGUUCGAGCCCCUACGUCGGGUG